ACAGGUGGGUGGGAUGAGUAUUCUAAGGCGCGUGGAAGAACUCUCUUUAAGGAACUCUGCAAAAUAGCACCGUAUCUUCGGUAUAAGGUGUGGUUAGCUUUGUAUUAGGAUUUACUCCGAAAGCAAGGAAACUUACAACAAAGAGUCCCUCCCGACUGUUUACCAAAAACACAGCACUCUGCUAACUCGUAAGAGGAUGUAUAGGGUGUGACGCCUGCCCGGUGCUCGAAGGUUAAUUGAUGGGGUUAGCAUUAGCGAAGCUCUUGAUCGAAGCCCGAGUAAACGGCGGCCGUAACUAUAACGGUCCUAAGGUAGCGAAAUUCCUUGUCGGUUAAAUACCGACCUGCAUGAAUGGCGUAACGAGAUGGGAGCUGUCUCAAAGAGGGAUCCAGUGAAAUUGUAGUGGAGGUGAAAAUUCCUCCUACCCGCGGCAAGACGGAAAGACCCCGUGGACCUUUACUACAGCUUGACACUGCUACUUGGAUAAGAAUGUGCAGGAUAGGUGGGAGGCUUUGAGUAUAUGACGCCAGUUGUAUAUGAGCCAUUGUUGAGAUACCACUCUUUCUUAUUUGGGUAGCUAACCAGCUUGAGUUAUCCUCAAGUGGGACAAUGUCUGGUGGGUAGUUUGACUGGGGCGGUCGCCUCCCAAAUAAUAACGGAGGCUUACAAAGGUUGGCUCAGAACGGUUGGAAAUCGUUCGUAGAGUAUAAAGGUAUAAGCCAGCUUAACUGCAAGACAUACAAGUCAAGCAGAGACGAAAGUCGGUCUUAGUGAUCCGGUGGUUCUGUGUGGAAGGGCCAUCGCUCAAAGGAUAAAAGGUACCCCGGGGAUAACAGGCUGAUCUCCCCCAAGAGCUCACAUCGACGGGGAGGUUUGGCACCUCGAUGUCGGCUCAUCGCAUCCUGGGGCUGGAGCAGGUCCCAAGGGUAUGGCUGUUCGCCAUUUAAAGCGGUACGCGAGCUGGGUUCAGAACGUCGUGAGACAGUUCGGUCCCUAUCUGCCGUGGGCGUAAGAAGAUUGAAGAGAUUUGACCCUAGUACGAGAGGACCGGGUUGAACAAACCACUGGUGUAGCUGUUGUUCUGCCAAGAGCAUCGCAGCGUAGCUAAGUUUGGAAAGGAUAAACGCUGAAAGCAUCUAAGCGUGAAGCCAACUCUAAGAUGAAUCUUCUCUAAGCUCUCUAGAAGACUACUAGUUUGAUAGGCUGGGUGUGUAAUGGAUGAAAGUCCUUUAGCUGACCAGUACUAAUAGAGCGUUUGGCUUAUCUUUAAUAAAGCAU
rnacentral:rRNA from 1 species